GUCUAUUGCCAUGCCACCCUGAACAAGCCCAAUGUCUGAUCUUGGAAGCUAAGCAGGUUUGGGCCUGGUUAGUACUUGGAUGGGAGACCACCUAGGAAGAUAAGGUGCUGUAGGCA
rnacentral:rRNA from 1 species